GACAUAGCUCAGCUGGUUAGAGCGCUGUGCUGAUAAUGCCAAGGUUGCAGGUUCGAUCCCUGUAUUGGAUAGCUGCA